AGCGAACGCUGGCGGCAGGCCUAACACAUGCAAGUCGAACGAAGCCUUCGGGCUUAGUGGCGGACGGGUGAGUAACACGUGGGAACGUACCUUUUGGUUCGGAAUAACGCAGAGAAAUUUGCGCUAGUACCGAAUGAGCCCUUCGGGGGAAAGAUUUAUCGCCGAAAGAUCGGCCCGCGUUGGAUUAGGUAGUUGGUGUGGUAAAGGCGCACCAAGCCUACGAUCCAUAGCUGGUCUGAGAGGAUGAUCAGCCACACUGGGACUGAGACACGGCCCAGACUCCUACGGGAGGCAGCAGUGGGGAAUCUUGCGCAAUGGGCGAAAGCCUGACGCAGCCAUGCCGCGUGAAUGAUGAAGGUCUUAGGAUUGUAAAAUUCUUUUACCAGGGACGAUAAUGACGGUACCUGGAGAAAAAGCCCCAGCUAACUUCGUGCCAGCCGCCGCCGUAAGAC
rnacentral:rRNA from 1 species